rnacentral:rRNA from 1 species
ACUNAAGCAUAUCAAUAAGCGGAGGAAAAGAAACCAACAGGGAUUGCCUCAGUAACGGCGAGUGAAGCGGCAACAGCUCAAAUUUGAAAUCUGACCCCUUCGGGGCCCGAGUUGUAAUUUGUAGAGGAUGCUUCGGGUGCGGCGCCGGUCUAAGUUCCUUGGAACAGGACGUCAUAGAGGGUGAGAAUCCCGUAUGCGACCGGCGGCCAACCCCGUGUGAAGCCCCUUCGACGAGUCGAGUUGUUUGGGAAUGCAGCUCAAAAUGGGUGGUAAAUUUCAUCUAAAGCUAAAUACCGGCCAGAGACCGAUAGCGCACAAGUAGAGUGAUCGAAAGAUGAAAAGCACUUUGGAAAGAGAGUCAAACAGUACGUGAAAUUGUUGAAAGGGAAGCGCUUGCAACCAGACCUGCCCGCGGGCGAUCAGCCGUUAUUCUUAGCGGUGCACUCGUCCGCGAUCAGGCCAGCAUCGGUUCGAGCGGCCGGAUAAAGGCCUCGGGAAUGUAGCUCCCCCCGGGGAGUCUUAUAGCCCGGGGUGCAAUGCGGCCAGCCCGGACCGAGGACCGCGCUUCGGCUAGGAUGCUGGCGUAAUGGUUGUAAGCGACCCGUCUUGAAACACGGACC